UCCGUUUUCUUAAAAAUAAAAGUGAUAUUGUUCCUUUCAAAGUAAUUUUAUCAUUUCGAAAGUUUUUUUCUCUUGUUCCCAUUGUGAAAUUGAAAGUUCAUCCAUUUAACUAGAAAACUGUAGAACUGUCAAAUUUCCUAAAUCUUGAGAGAAAACAGAAAGAGAAAAACGUUUACUUCUGUUUACCCAGUUCCACUAUGGACUAUCAGGUGGUUAAAUAAAAUUUAUAAAAAUGUACAUAUAUUUAUUUCGCUUCUCACCUUAAUUAUUGUCUAUUUCUCGAAAAACAAAUAUUUAUCUACAAUAUUUAGAAAAAAAUGUAUAUAAUAUGUACUAACAUAAGAUUUCUAUUUAUUCAAGCCCAAUGUGAUUGAAGUUGUUUUUUGUCCAAUAAUUAAAAAAAACUCCCAUAGUAUUAUUCUGUGUGCAUAAUCGUUUUCGCCUUUAUUCGCCGCGAAGCUUUUAUUCACUGACCAGAAACAAGUCGCGGAAUUUUUGUUUUCUUUCUGUUUCGAGCGAGGUUUCGAGUAAAUAUUUUAUCUCCUGAAGAUUGAUUUGUUCAAUCAAUCUGCGGUGCAGGCAGUGCUAAAAAACUAUACGGGAAUGGAAGCAAAACAUCUGUCUGCAAUGCACACCCGACAAGCGACUGUGAGGCGAGCUGUCGGGGCUUUUUGGAGCUGCUACACAUUUUAUAUGUUGAAUGAAAUUAUGAAAUAAAAAACAAAACCUAUAAUAA